AACAACCUCGGUACUAUUGCUCGCUCUGGUACCAAGCAGUUCAUGGAGGCUCUCACUGCCGGUGCUGAUAUCUCCAUGAUUGGACAGUUCGGUGUCGGUUUCUACUCUGCUUACCUUGUUGCUGACAAGGUUACCGUUGUCUCCAAGCACAAUGAUGAUGAGCAGUACAUCUGGGAGUCCUCUGCCGGUGGUACCUUCACCUUGACCCAGGACACUGAGGGUGAGCCCCUCGGCCGUGGUUCCAAGAUUAUCCUCCACCUCAAGGAUGAGCAGACCGAUUAUCUCACUGAGAGCAAGAUCAAGGAGGUUGUCAAGAAGCACUCUGAGUUCAUCUCUUACCCCAUCUACCUCCACGUCUUGAAGGAGACUGAGAAGGAGGUCCCAGAUGAGGACGCCGAGGAGGUCACCGAAGUUGAGGAGGGUGAUGAGAAGAAGCCAAAAGUCGAGGAAGUUGAUGACGAGGAGGAAGAUAAGGAAAAGAAGAAGACCAAGACUGUCAAGGAGUCCUCAAUUGAGGAAGAAGAGCUUAACAAGACUAAGCCCAUCUGGACUCGCAACCCUGCUGACAUUACCCAGGAGGAGUAUGCCUCCUUCUACAAGACCCUGUCCAACGACUGGGAGGACCACCUCGCAGUCAAGCAUUUCUCUGUCGAGGGUCAGCUCGAGUUCCGUGCUGUGCUC
rnacentral:snoRNA from 1 species